AGCAGCCGCGGUAAUUCCAGCUCCAAUAGCGUAUAUUAAAGUUGUUGCAGUUAAAAAGCUCGUAGUUGAAUUUCGGGAUUGACACAUCGGUCGUGCCUUAAGGGGUAUGAACUGGUGUAGUCAAUUUCUCACCUUCUGGAGAACCGCGAUGCCCUUAAUUGGGUGUCGCGGGGAACCAGGACCUUUACUUUGAAAAAAUUAGAGUGUUUAAAGCAGGCAUUUUGCUUGAAUACAUUAGCAUGGAAUAAUAAAAUAGGACGGCAUGAUUCUAUUUUGUUGGUUUCUAGGAUCACCGUAAUGAUUAAUAGGGAUAGUUGGGGGCAUUAGUAUUCGAUUGUCAGAGGUGAAAUUCUUGGAUUUAUUGAAGACUAACUACUGCGAAAGCAUUUGCCAAGGAUGUUUUCAUUAAUCAAGAACGAAAGUUAGGGGAUCGAAGACGAUCAGAUACCGUCGUAGUCUUAACCAUAAACUAUGCCGACUAGGAAUCAGACGAUGUUAAUUUUUAAUGUACUCGUUUGGC
rnacentral:misc_RNA from 1 species